rnacentral:rRNA from 1 species
ACCAGACUCCUACGGGAGGCAGCAGUGGGGAAUAUUGCACAAUGGGGGAAACCCUGAUGCAGCGACGCCGCGUGAGUGAAGAAGUAUUUCGGUAUGUAAAGCUCUAUCAGCAGGGAAGAAAAUGACGGUACCUGACUAAGAAGCCCCGGCUAACUACGUGCCAGCAGCCGCGGUAAUACGUAGGGGGCAAGCGUUAUCCGGAUUUACUGGGUGUAAAGGGAGCGUAGACGGCAUGGCAAGUCAGAUGUGAAAGCCCGGGGCUCAACCCCGGGACUGCAUUUGAAACUGUCAGGCUGGAGUGCAGGAGAGGUAAGUGGAAUUCCUAGUGUAGCGGUGAAAUGCGUAGAUAUUAGGAGGAACACCAGUGGCGAAGGCGGCUUGCUGGACAGUAACUGACGUUGAGGCUCGAAAGCGUGGGGAGCAAACAGGAUUAGAUACCCUGGUA